UACGUAGGGUGCAAGCGUUAAUCGGAAUUACUGGGCGUAAAGCGUGCGCAGGCGGUUGUGCAAGUCAGAUGUGAAAUCCCCGGGCUUAACCUUGGAACUGCAUUUGUGACUGCACAGCUGGAGUGCGGCAGAGGGGGAUGGAAUUCCGCGUGUAGCAGUGAAAUGCGUAGAUAUGCGGAGGAACACCGAUGGCGAAGGCAAUCCCCUGGGCCUGCACUGACGCUCAUGCACGAAAGCGUGGGGAGCAAACAGG
rnacentral:rRNA from 1 species